rnacentral:rRNA from 1 species
UACGAAGGGAGCUAGCGUUGUUCGGAAUCACUGGGCGUAAAGCGCACGUAGGCGGAUUGCUAAGUCAGGGGUGAAAUCCUGGAGCUCAACUCCAGAACUGCCUUUGAUACUGGCGAUCUUGAGUCCGGGGAGAGGUGAGUGGAACUGCGAGUGUAGAGGUGAAAUUCGUAGAUAUUCGCAAGAACACCAGUGGCGAAGGCGGCUCACUGGCCCGGUACUGACGCUGAGGUGCGAAAGCGUGGGGAGCAAACAGGG